ACAGCAGCCGCCACGGUAAUACGAAGGGGGCUAGCGUUGUUCGGAUUUACUGGGCGUAAAGGGCGCGUAGGCGGACUGAUAAGUCAGGGGUGAAAUCCCAAGGCUCAACCUUGGAACUGCCUUUGAUACUGUUUGUCUUGAGUCCAAGAGAGGUAAGUGGAACUGCGAGUGUAGAGGUGAAAUUCGUAGAUAUUCGCAAGAACACCAGUGGCGAAGGCGGCUUACUGGCUCGAAACUGACGCUGAGGCGCGAAAGCGUGGGGAGCAAACAGGAUUAGAUACCCCAGUAGUCCCUGUCUCUUAUAA
rnacentral:rRNA from 1 species